rnacentral:rRNA from 1 species
CCUACGGGUGGCAGCAGUGAGGAAUAUUGGUCAAUGGGCGCGAGCCUGAACCAGCCAAGUAGCGUGAAGGAUGACUGCCCUACGGGUUGUAAACUGCUUUUAUAAGGGAAUAACGAGACGUACGUGUACGGCUUUGUAUGUACCGUAUGAAUAAGGAUCGGCUAAUUCCGUGCCAGCAGCCGCGGUAAUACGGAGGGUCCGGGCGUUAUCCGGAUUUAUUGGGUUUAAAGGGAGCGUAGAUCGCAUGUCAAGUCAGUUGUGAAAGUUUGCGGCUCAACCCUGGCAUUGCAGUGCGAACUGGCAUUCUUGAGUACAGUUGAGGCAGGCGGAAUUCGUGGUGUAGCGGUGAAAUGCUUAGAUAUGACGAAGAACCCCGAUUGCGAAGGCAGCUUACUACAGCGCAACUGACACUGAUGCUCGAAAGUGCGGGUAUCGAACAGGAUUAGAUACCCGGGUAGUC